CGUUUGUGUAUGAAUCCCUCGAACUGUAAACCGAGGGAAGGUAGCUCAGGGAGGGACGUGAAGCCGGCACUCUAUCUGUGGUAUAGCAGCCGCACACACGUUCUUGGAUUGAAACCUGUGGAUUUAUUCCCUGUGAGCGCCAGAGAUUGUUGAACCGUUCACCCUCAACGUUCACCCGCACGUUCACUCUUACGUUCACCAUAUGGGACAAGUAAACGCACACAUGGGACAAGUAAACACACACAAGAAUGAACGAGUGUCGAUAGCCUGGCGUAAUAAUAUACCAAGAAGAAAUGCCCUUGUCUAACGCCCCUGAGUGGGUGUUACACCUAUACUCUUUAGUCGUGGUUUGAAAUAUCCUGAACGCCAAUCAGAAUACGUGAAUGUGUCAAUGGUGAAGUGAACUCUGCCUCUCGAAAAAGAAAAAAAGAAAAAGAAAAAAAGAAAUAUGCCAGUGUUAGGUCCAUUACACCAGUAAACUCAGGAACAUUCCCUUUUUCUUUUCCGCUGUGACUUGCACUGCCUUAAGAGAAGAACACAGGAUUAUCGUGACAUUUUCGGAGCUAAAUUUACUUCCAUUCUUGACUUUCUUCUCUUUAUUUGUAAGGAAGUAGCCAAAUAACGGGUUUACUUCUCGCUGGUCGAUGUCCUUCAGACAAUAAGAAAUACUCGUAUAUCGACGUGGAUACCUUCCCUACUCGGUGCUCGAUCCCUCUGUAAAGUUUGUUACACUUUCCUUUAUUACUUUUAUUCUGUUACAUAUGGGCAAGAAAUGUAGGAAUGGAGGGAAGACGAAAGAGCGGACGGGAGAAAGGAGUGAGGGAGUUCCCAGGGGAGGGAGCAUCAAGAAGAUUUAAACCUCCCUGGCUGUCAUCGGGUCUAUACAAAUUCUCAUCAGACGUCACCCAGACGUCACCCAGCUCCGCUCCUGCUCUCACUCCUGCGUCUUUUAAAAGGCCGGCAGGAAGCAAGGCGCGCACACUCGCCCACGAGCCGCCUAGAAAGGAGCAUUUUCGCUUCCAACGACUCUACAAAGAAAAAGGCUUUGGCCUGCUAGACAAAAAAAGAAUACCGAUAGACAACCCGGCAGUCACUUCGAGGAGCCGCGGUCUUCCCUACGUUCCCUGUGGAGAGAGCCUCACCUAAGGGUAUCGCUGGAAGAUCGCAGUAACUCACUGGUAUAAGUGACUUUUGCCAACUGUUCCUCCUACUCCACCUUUCUUUUCUUCGUACCGGCGACAGAGUCAGGAUCGGGCCUUAGGCAAGCCCGCUCCGCGCUCUUUAGCCACCGGGGCCUCUAGUGUUGGCUAGAGCAGCCUAGAGACACCCCGGCAGCGUACAAUCCCUACCUCAGGGCUAGAUAUUCAGGGUCUCCUCUCUCCAGCUAGGAUCCCCCUCGGGAUAUAGGUUCUAGGGCGACAGGAAACAACAAUAGGUUGUUUAUAGUCCACUCGUGGUUGUAGCACCCUAAAGGCUGUAGCGCCAAAAGGCUGUAGCGCCACUCGCGCCUAAUAACACUUUUCCACCACAGAUUCUCUCCUACAGGGCUGCAGCAUCAUAGGGCCCGGCCCUAUGAUAAGAUGGCCGCCCCACGCCCCCCUGACCGGACAAUAAGGUACCGGAUUAAAACUGCCAACAUCCCUGCCGACCUCAGCAAUGCCUUUUUUACCAGGACCCAGGUUCCCCACACAAAAUGCUUUACAUCUGGCCCUUACAUUAUCGUUGGUUUUGGGUGCGUGGGCGGCGUCCGUGGCUGUGGCUGUGUUGGGUUUGGCUUGCUCGGUUGGUGGCGGACUCUCCUGCUUUCCCCGAUAAGGACCUUGACUCCCUUGCCAUCUUAGCAUGAAUAUAACACGGGAGAAAAAAAAAAAAAAAAAAAAAAAAAUAAUAAUUUAAGAGAUGUCCUUCCUAAUUCAAAUUGCGCCUGGGUUAAGCCCCAGUGAUUAUUUCUCCUACUACAGUUCCCUUCUUAUCACCCCCUAUUCUUCCCACUGUCCCCACUUCCCCCUCCCCACCUUUUCUCUCUUUGUUAUGUUAUAUAUCACCUGUAAACUACUCGUACUUGUUUUCUUCUUGCUCUGUUUAUAUCCCUUGAUUCUUUCAUUCCUUAUUUCAUCUCCCUCUCUCUCCUUUCCUUCUAUUUAACUACGUACAUCCACUACUCAUCUUUCUCCUGCUCUGUUUGAGUUAUUUACUUAUUUUUUUUUAUUUAUUCUGUGGUGUAUAACAAUCUCUCUCUCUCUCUCUCUCUCUCUCUCUCUCUCUCUCUCUCUCUCUCUCUCUCUCUCUCUCUCUCACACACACAU